rnacentral:rRNA from 1 species
CCCUUAGAUGUUCUGGGCCGCACGCGUGCUACACUGAGUGGAUCAGCGGGUCAGGUUGCGCGAAAGUGUUUCCUAAUCUUGAAAUCCGCUCGUGAUGGGGAUUGACGGUUGCAAUUUUCCGUCAUGAACGAGGAAUACCUUGUAAGCGCGGGUCAUCAUCCCGCGCUGAAUACGUCCCUGCCCUUUGUACACACCGCCCGUCGCUCCUACCGAUUGAGUGGUCCGGUGAGGCUUUGGGAUCCGAGCAAAAAGAGCGUUUCGCUCGUUUGGCUCGGAAAACUCAGUCGAACCUUAUCAUUUAGAGGAAGGAGAAGUCGUAACA